AGAUUCUCAUAGUUAUCGAGAUUUAUCUUUAAAAAUCUUUGAUGUUUAUUUUUCUUUGAUGUAACAUUUGUUUAAAAUUGUACACACAACUGUUUUGGACCUAAAUCCAGGAUUCAAAGGCUUUGUGUUUACCUCAAGUUUUUGUGGAUUGGUGCAUAAAAUACAGUCAAAUAGAUUCGUCUUUGCUAGUCAACAAAACAGAUUGUUUCUGAGUAUCAGAUUCAGAUUACUUCAGAUCGACCUGUUGAUUGUCAACAAAAGCUGAUCAAUAGAUACUUAUCAUUUCUAAUCUCAUCUAUUUCACGAGUUUACCUCUAAGAUCAACAUGGUAACUUGAAAACCCAACUUUCUUACAACACAAAAUUUGUAAUUCUUUCGCCAGUGAUAUAAUAUAAAUCUGAAGAGAUGUAAUAAUAACAUUCAACCAUUGGGUAAUAUCUUUAUUGGAUUAAAUGAUUUAUGUUACCAGUGCAAUACAAUGGAUUUUUUUUACCAAAUCAUGGUUCAUGAUGGCCCAUCAAAAUCCUAUCUGUUUGCCCUGACCUAAUUGCCAUCGAGAGUUUCUUGAUUGCUGCAUAAACACACCAUUGGAAUCAAUGAAUUUUAUCAUUUCACAACGGUUCAUUGGCACUUUCAUUCUUUGACGAUCGAUUAUUAUGUCUUAAAAUGGGAUUGAGAGUCUCUCCAUUUUACAUGAGAUGAGCUAUUCAAUUUGAUUGUUACCAUCUUCAGGACAACUGGGUUUCAUCAUUUAACCACUGAUGCAAUGGCGUUACACUUCUCGAUUUAUCUUAUUUUAUCAGUGAAUGUUUUCUGCAUACUCAAUGAAUUGACAACUGUCAUUGACAUUUACCAGUUAUUGGACAAUUAUCAUUGAUGCCUGCAUCAUCCUCAGUAUAUAUGAUGCUAUGUCCAAGAUUAUUGCGAUUAGAAAUUAAAUUGAAAACAAAACAAAGAAGUUGAAUUGAAAGUUUUGUUUCAUUGUUGACCUCAUUCGUAUAACUAAUUAUCAAACAUCUAAAACCUAAUGUCUAACAAUUUUAAAUAAAUUAAU